CAUACUGCAUUUUCUAUUCAAAGGAGUGUUUAUAAUUUUGUAAAGAAAACUGCAUCGUGUAUGCCCCUCCUCGGUGUCAUUCCACUCAGUUCAAAUUCACGUCUCGGGCUCCUCAAACUGAGGCACCCUCCUGUUGUCACCACGCUGGGUUUUCCUCACGGGGUCUCUGUGCAGGUUGUUGGCCAUGUAGGUGGCACGUGCCAGUUUGCAGGUGGUUGAUGCGGAAAGGGAAUAAUGCAGCACCUACAGAAGCAUUACGUGCUCUUAUAAUUUAAUGCGUUUAUGCACAGUUACAGGAAGAUAAUAACACUUUAUCAUUUUUUUGAGCUACUUAUUGUAUCAAAGCAUGAUUUAACUCUUUAUGUGAGCCUGGGAAGCUGGUUCUGUGUGUGUGGCUGGAGGAGUUCAAUUUCUUUUCUGUCCCAAGGCAAGUUCCCAGUCACAGCAGAGAAGUUGCUCGCUGUAUUCACACUCAGGCAGGAGCUGCAAGGAGUCUUGUUGAAAGUACUGGAAGUGGCAGAGCUUGCAAGGCUAUCUAGGUUUUCAGUUACUAAAGUAUUAGUAAAAGUUCUGUUUGCUCCUCAUAUAAAUAAUUCUGGUUUGGUCAGUUCAGCACCCUCGUUUGUUCGGAGCAGACUUGGUGAAUUCUUUGCUGGUUUUUCUAUGUAGGAGGGUUUGAUUUUUGUAGGGUCUGGGAAUGAAAUCUUUUUUGCUUCUCAUUUGGUUCGAAACAGUGGUCUGAACAACACAAAUCAGAAAGUUGUGGCUCCACACCAGGCUUUCUUUCAGCUUCCCUGCUAACUGUAGACAAGUCACCUUUUCUAUCACACCCUAAUUUGGGUGCACAAAUCAUCUUCCGUCAGCUUUCCUACAGCUUUACAUCCACAAUUACUCAUAAGGAAGAUUUAUGUCUGCUUUAAGGGCCAGAAGGCAGCAGCUCUCCGUUCUGUGGCACUGGUGUAAAGCAAGUGAAGAGGUGCUUUUCUGUGCAGAAAUAACUAGCGAGCACGGAGAAUUUGGGGUGAAAUUCCUGCGGUCCUGCAGCUCUGUCAGUGCAGGCUGAUGCAGGACCUGCAGCAAGCUUUUAGCUGUGGGGAGGGGGCUCUUGUUUGUUUUCUGCUUAUUUUUCUGUGAAUGACUUGGCAUUGUGAGAAGAGUAUGUGUAAUGGGUGAGUGUCAGGUGAGGGGAAGGAAGGAAUUUGCACGAGCAUCCAAGUCCAUCCUCUUUGGACCGACAUUUCUGAGAUAUUUUAUCCAACAGGGGUGAUACACUCGAUAUCCAAUGGGGGUGAUAUAUUAGAGAACGACACUAAGGACUGAGCCGCUCUUCAGUGGGGCGAUGGAUGCCUGAAGCGUGUCGUUGCCCUUGAAAGGCUCCGUGCUGAUGGCUUCGGCGCGGGAAGUUCAGGGGACAGAGCCCCUUGCAAGCGGUCGUGGCAGGCUGACUGACGGUUCAACCCCAAGUGCUAUAAAAAAUAGAGGCGUUUAUGUAGAAAACAUAGUGCUAAAUGAAGGCCAAGACCGUGUUAAGCUCUACGGAGGCUUCUGGGACUAAAGCGGGUAGGAUGGAGCUCCAUUAGAGCCCUGGCAGAGCGGCAGCUGCCCAGCAGGACAGAGGCUUAUUGCUGCUCUGAUACAAUCAGAGCUGUUGGAAUAUGCUGCUUAAGCUCGUUGACUUCAAUACGGACGUCCGCGGGCUGGAUUAGAAUUACUGAUCCACUUUUUUACUUCCCCCCUCCAUUGCAGCAGAAUUUCUUCUGCGAUUUAUUUCCCGCUUGGAUUUCAGGUGAUUUUCAGGUUCCUCUUUCGUAUUCCAUCCGCAAAAUCAGUCCUAAAAACUAACGCUUGUGGAAGAGGGAACGUGGCCGUUGGGGAUAAAGUCACGCUUUAUUUCCUACCCUUUAAAAAUGCCAACAGUUCUGUGCAGGGUGUUUGCUGCUAUUGUUUUGCUUGUUUGUUUCUCCAGCAUAUCUGUCCUGUGACGUGCAGUGCAAGAGGAGAUAAAGUGGCACGUGAGACACUUGAAAUAUUGAUGAGGCUAAGCGGCGGGGACCACUCCGAGCUUGGUUGGAGCCAGGCUAACUCUUGGCUCUGACCCUCGAGCCAGGAGACCCCCAGUGCAUUUUCGUAGCUGCUGCUCUGGUUCGUGGCUGAUUCUUGAGGACAAGGGUAUGGAAACCGAAUGCUUCAAAGCCAGAUGAUGAAAGUAGGCACCUCUUCUCUUUCGAAUGGUGGUGUUUAUACUGUCAAGCUGGCCGUGUGGCAUUUUCACCUUACGGAUGUUUUGUCAGUGGCAUCACUCAAACCCUUUCUCCCACCCCUUUGGUGUUCCUGCUGGAAGCUCCCUGUGCACACGUGAUCCCCCUUCUCUUCUUGGGAGAGGUAAAAGGAGAAGGAAGAGUGUGGCUGAGGAGAAGAGGCAGCCUGCAUCCAUCUUCAAAUCCUGGGGACGCUCAACCCAAGUGUCCAAUGACCCUGGGACUUUGCGUGCCCACACAUGGCUGUGUCGGUGUUGAUGACUCUGCACAUAACUGCCUUUCCCACCCAGAGCUCUGUGUGCUGCUGGGCUGAUGAGAUUGAUUCCCGUUCCCUUGAUGGAACGCGGGCAAGGAAAGGGCCGUGCUCAUUCUCAGCAGCUUAUAUCCAAAAAUGCUGAAGAUGCAAAAGACUCUUCGUGCCUUGAGGAACAUCCUCCGAUUGAAUAGCAGUUGCCAGCUGUCUGCUUUCCAAGGAAGAGGCUACAUGGGUCACUGUGCUGCAAAACCAAGUGUGAAGGACCGUGCUCCUGGCUGCUUCACGAGGACGGCUUGGCCACAGGGCUGCCCUGCCUGUUGGAGGGGCUCCUGAUUUCAGCGAAACCUAGGUCAGGUUGUAACAGAAGAAAUACAAUAUAUGAAGAUUAAUUAAAAAAAAAAAAAAAAAAAGGCAGGCUGAAAGAUGUGAUUUAUUUAUGUGUAUUUGUGUGCUUUCCACACCAGCAUGGGUUUAGCUAUGCUGCAGGUUCAGUUUGGUUUUUGUUUUCUUUUCCUCUUUAAAUUGAAACCCAUGCUCUAAAACAUUCAUACUAAAUAUGCUGCUGAUUUCCAGCUUAGCUGAUCCUGAAAGAAUUAGUUACGGUCUUUUUCAGGUUGCUCUUGGGCAUCUUACAAACAGCAGUGAUUUGGAAAAUCUCUUUAAGAUCCUUAGUUGUUGGUAUAUUUGGCUUUUGUUUGGUUGUGACCUUGAAAUAGCAUAGGUUUCAGCAAUUGUAUCCACAAAUUAGGAAUUUUGGUAUUUUCGAAAUACAAUUCAUAUUGUCAAAGCUGUAAGAUUUGUGGUAGUGUUUUUUUUUUGUGUGUUUUUUUUUUUCCCAAAAUAGAUCUUUGAGUUAGGGAAUUUUUUUUCUUUUUGUUUUGUUUACCAUAUCCAGCUGUAGCGUUGGCAGGACUUGCUCUCGAGUAUCCAUGGGUUAAGGCGCAAUUUUUCUUCACCAGUCCCUGCUGCUGGAUGUGAGCCAGGGGUGUGACUGCGAGGGCAUUAAUUAAAAGGCUCAGUCAGUUUACGUUCCUAAAAAUGAUCUCAAUUCGUAGACUUCGGUGGAUGUACAAUUCUAGAUGAAGAGACUGGUGAUGUGAAAAUAGAAGUGGUGUUGCUUUUGAGGCUGACUUCUGUAAUGAGAAGUGUUAACUUGUGUUCCAGGAGGCAGCUUGGAAGCCAUGUGACAACUUAAUUAAACAGAUUGAGCAGGAAGAGGAGGAGUUGUUCCGAAUUUGCACUCUUUGCAAGAGUUACUUAGCUGUAAAUACUUAACCAACUCAUUUCUUCACUUCUCCUGGCCAUUCCUCCAUCUCGGAGCAGUUCUCAAAGGCCAUCAACAUGACAUGGGGUGUCUUGUGGGCAACGUGGUGGCAGUUUCUAAUAGCCUACAACAGGUCCUUUGAAACUAUAUGCAAACAUUUUGUAACUCCGGUAAUCGAUGCUUUGUCUGACAUGCAGCAGAAUCAUGGCUUUAAUUUUGAUCACUAUCCAUGCGUAAUUUACUGCUGCAAAAUUUAUCACGUUAGCUUCUUUUUUUUUCUUUUGCCUGUCGACAGUCUCGCUAAGCUUGGAGCACACGAGGUUUGUGGAGGCUUUUGGGGCUUUUAGUUGUGCUUGGUGCGCAGGCGUGUGACUUGGUUUGGGACCCGGGUGUAAACGCAAGGUUCUGUGUUUCUCCGCGGUGUUUUGAAGCUAUAGCUGCUUCCAGGGUCUUCAGCUGAACUGCUGCAGUGCUUUUAUCCUCUGGUUUUUCAUCCCUGGACACAGCAGGACGAUGGAUUUGCCUCCACUGAUGCCCCAGCUACUGAGGAAGAGAAGAGGAGAGGAGUUCUUCCCCGGAACCGGGUGCUUUGCUGAAAGCAGCUGGCUCAUGGUCUUAGGGUCAUUCAACCGAGGUGAUGCCAGCAUCGGUGCUGCGGGAGGAGCUUGCCAGCACACCUCCCAGCGCCCUCCUUCCCUGCAAGCGGGUUCCUGCUUCUUGUCACCGUAUCUGUUACGGCUGUGGUUGAGAACUGACAAUAUUUGCAAAAUCUGAUCUCCCGGGCAGAGAUAAGGAAAGCAGCUGGCAGCAUGCCGUGUUUUCAUUCCCUACCUUUUUUUCUUUGUGAUAUUAAUUUGCAAAAGCAGGCUGAUGACAGAUGAGAAACCUUUAAUUGGAGAACUCGUUGUUCACGGACCAGGAGGGCUCACGUCUCAGAAUAAAUUAAGGAUUAGUGUAGGACUCGGUCAAGUCAUGGUUCAGGAAGCUAAGCGUGAGUUUGUAUCACACAGAACUCAUCACACUGCUCCCUGCGUGGGCACUGCACACCACAGGUCUGCCUCUUGGCCUGCUCCGUACCAGUGCUGCGCUACCCAGCGUUAGGACACAGCUUUCUUUAGGAGUGGUCAUCAAGAGUUUGUGUUGUCUUUGUAGCUUCAAGUCUAUAUUCAGGCUUCUCAAACAUUUCAGGUAUUGAAGACUUCUGUGAGUCUCGGCACUCCUUUGCUCUUUGUAGGUGUCAGCCUUUUUCUGUUGGCUGUGAGCACCUCAGUUCUGUUGUCUGUGCACCCAACACAGGUGAUGUGAGCUCUUUCUUCCAGACAAAGCCCCAGCUGGUGCCGUUCCUCACUUGCUCCCUUCGCAGAAACUUGUAGGGUGUUCACAAUCUCUCUGCAGCUUCAACGUAGAGUAGUUGCUUUGUGUACCCAACACACAGCCUUAAAAAGCAAAACAAACAAGAAAACCCUGGUGGUGUUGGGUUAGAAGGGAGCUUCAAAAGAUGCACCUGCUCCUGCGCACGUGGAACUAUAAUCUUUAGGAUGAGUCCACCCUAAAGGAGAGGAGGAAGAUGGAGGCUUCAGUGUCUCAUUGCUUCAGACACCUCUGUCAGGGUCCCGGCAUGUUGGAACGGCACAUCGUACCCUGCGGUCCUUGAGUCAAAACCUUCAUUCCUGUGCCAGUUGGUGAAGGUGAGACUCACCCAGGCAGUAUAACCAACGACCAGCCUUUCUUUAAUCAUUCCUAAUAGGCUGUGAAGAACCUCUCUUAAAACUGUUUUUGAUGAAUUAGAGGUAGAAAAUCGUACUGUGUGUGUUACAGAUCAGUUUUCUCACACUGUGGUUUUGGUGACAUGUCCCCACUUUCCUUUUGUUCUGCAGCAAUUGCAGAAAUACAUUUUUUUCCCCUCUUCUGUUUCCAGAUUGAAAGACAGAAGAGCCUUCUGUUUGAAUAUUACUUCCAAAAAAUAAAUAAGGAAAAAUGGAAUAGGAUCUGUUUUGUAAUGGGGCCUGAUUAAAAUUGUCAGUGCUGUACGAAGAAGCCUCGUGCAUGUUUUUAAUACAGUAAUGUGUUGUUUCACCUGGGCAUUUGCUUUAGUUGGGCCGAAGUUACAUUUCAGGCAGCGUGCGUUAAACUGUUUUAUUGAGGUUGUGCUUUUUGCACUUCUUAUGAUAAACACAUCUCUAGCAUUUGUCUGUGAUGUUUCAAAAUCAGAAUGGCUAAAAUGUAAUAGUUUAGACACCACCACUUGGUGUCUGUCUGAAAAGUUUCCGAAGGCAGUGUGGUGAAUGAGGGCCAAAGGUGGAAUUUGGAUUCCAAAUUCCUGGUUUAUUCGCUUAAGUUUCCUAAGACUUCGAUGCCUUGGUUGCUGUUACUGAUCAGUAUUGUAUUUUAUUUUACACCACAGCGAGCAGGGACACUGAUGAAGAGCGAGGCAGAUAACGUUGAUCGUUUGCGUCUACGUAAUGAAGUGUGGGGUGGCGAGGCUGCACCAAGGUCUGCACGGGGCGCUGGAGUUUCAUAGCAGAUAGAUGAUCUAGCACUUCACCCUGUUAAACCGGCUUUCAAGCCCACUGUUACGGACGAGGUGAAAAUGAGUUUGCCUUUUAACGAGCGUUUGUUUAUUCACUUGGCAGCUGCCGGCCCCAGCUCUGCAGGAAGAGGAGCAGAGCAGGGAGUUCACAGCAGGUCAGGAGCGGGAGGACCGCCACCGCUGCUCGCCCCACGUGCUGCUCGUCGGGGCAAUGCACUCACUGAAAACUGAAAGCUUUUUAAAAACUGCUGAUCCGUUGUUACAACGGAGAGGACUGCAUAUUCUGAAAAAGAACAUAAAGAGGAAAAUCAGGGAUUUGAGAGAGAUCUGAUUCCUGGUAGCCUCCUGUGAGCUUUCCUCUGUAAAGCACCGUGCUCUGUUUUGAGGACUGAAGGUGUGCCUGAGCGGCCCUGAUAGCCUGAGCCACAGCAGGCCGCUCCGACAGCUUGGCCUGGGCAUUGUGGUGCUUAAGUGCUCUGGCUUGGCUUGCCUGGGGAGGCUGGUUUUACAGGUGGACUUAAACAGCUCUUGUUUUCUGUUUUUGUUUGUUGCAGAGCAGUGGGAAGCGUUCCCAGGCUCUAGUGUGGUAGGAUGCGUGGUGUGAAUGUGCAGACUAAGCAGCGCUGGCCUACAUGUCUGCCUAAUGGAAGUGUCUGAGAUUAUAGGAGAGUGAGGGAAGAGAUCCACUUGGUCUUGCUGGUGCAGUACCCUUAGCUCUGCCUUGGGACGAGCGAGGCUGAAUUGGAUCACGCGAAGAGUGCUUCUACGUGAAGGGCAGAUGGAUGUGACAAAAUGCAGGGGCUGGUCAAGGUGUCCUGCUACUGCAGACAGCACAGUGAAGGAAAUAAUUUCUGAAGGCUAGGGUCAGUGUUGUGUUCUGCAGUAUGAAAUUCCUUUGAAAAAAGCUUUAAGAACAGGUUUUGCUACCAAAUCCUAUUGAGUUUGUUUUGCUCAAGAUUCUUCGCUGCAAUAACUCCUUGAAAAAUGAAGCUGAAUCUGUCCUUGUCUCUUGUUCUGAAUAAUGGAUGAACUAAGGCUUUGUUUAAUCCCGCUCAUUCUGCAAACUUCAUUUGUAUUUGGUUUAAGAAAACCAAGCCAUCAGCGGCACAUACUACACA